UGUUCGCGGAUAUUUCACAUAGUCGAGGUAAACUAGUUUUCUGGUAAAUAACAGCAGACGAAUAGAUUCCAGAAAUAUGUAUAUACUGAAAACUAAUCUGAAAACAUUCAUUUUCACAUAAACAUAAUUCUUAUCACUUCUAACAAAGUAUAUUCCUUAAAAAUAUCGAAAUUUUGGAUCUUCACUUACUUUUUUCUUCCAUUAAAUACUAACAAUGGCAAUAGAUAUUUUUGCCAUACUUUCGUAUUUAAAAUUAGGCUACAAUAAAUAUGAUUUUCAUAUAUAAUUUAUAAACAUGUACAUUUUCUUGAACAUUGUCAUUUAAUAUGAUUUUGCUGGCAAAUUUUUAAAUUAACAUAAACAUUUAUUUACAUGAAAGAAAAUCACCGGAGAACUCUCAUCCAACUCUUCCAAAUCCUUCUGUCAAACUGUAUUGAAACUAUUUGUGGGGAAAUUUUUUUUAUCUCAGCAUCUGGUCGCAUCCAGCAUAUGAUUGAUAUAUUCGGUAUCUUUUAGAGAAGUCGACAGGUGCAAAGUCGUCAACUUCGCAGAUUUGUAGAGGAAGGACUAUCUGUUAAUGCUGGGAGUCCGUUAAAUUGAAGUAGAAAUAGAUUAGAAACGAUGAGGGAGAGGAAACAUGCAUGUGUUUGUUAACAGAAAGUCUGUUGUGUUGAUGGUUCCAACGGUUUAUAAUGUAUAUACGAAAAUAAGAAGGUAUUUCGUAACCAGCAACAGAAUGUUAAACUUAUAACCAUGCUAGAAUGGUAGCCGUGGUAAUGAUGGUGGUACGAUAUUCUGCAACAACUUUUUUCAAACAUUUGCCAAAGCCAUAAACUACAAUAAAUUCCAAGCAACUAAUAGUUACAAAGUUCAAGACUUAAUGUUAUAGAUUCAUACAUUCUAAAUCAUCCUACACCUCCCUGUAACUUCUUUGACAUCUUUCACAUCCUCUCCCACAACCAUUUUUUGCAGUAGUUCUUUUUAUAGAGCUUCUUGCAGACAACUAUUCCCUUAUCCAUUCACUGAUUAACUGAAAUUGUAUUAGAAACCAAGGAAACCAUUUAUUACAACCAUCUCUACUAAUUAUCAAGAAGCAAUAUUUAUGUGGGGAAAUCCUUGCAACAUUUAUCUAUAACUGCCUUACAUUAGGAACAAAGUGGUUGAAGAAUCAAUCAGAAAUUACGUGAAGUAAACAGCACAUUCUUUGAGUUAAUCUAUAUUACAGAUAAUAAAUCCAUAAUAUCUUUAAGGGUGCAUAGCUUCUUUGGUUUCUCUUCCACUAAGUGACUACUCUGCAUAUUCUUUCUAACUUCUGUCUCAGUCAUUCUUUAACUUAUUUGUCAACCACUUCACUAAAUUUUCUUUUGGUUUCUUUUUUCUCUUACUUUUCCUCACUCCUAUUUAAUGCUUUCAUUUCUCUUCCUUCUUAUGUUGUUCAAUGGAAUGUUACCUUUCUGUUUGGUUUUCUCUUUCUUUUACCCCACUUAAUAGAAUUUCUCUGUUAAUACAGAAAUACUUAUUUCUUUACUACCCACAAGGGGCUAAACACAGAGAGGACAAACAAGGACAGACAAACGGAUUAAGUCGAUUAUAUCGACCCCAGUGUGUAACUGAUACUUAUUUAAUCGACCCCGAAAGGAUGAAAGGCAAAGUUGACCUUGGCAUAAUUUGAACUCAGAACGUGACGGCAGACGAAAUACGGCUACGCAUUUCGCCUGGUGUGCUAACGUUUCUGCUAGCUCUCCGCCUUAUCUCUGUUAAUACAGAAAUAUCUUAAUGUGUUGCUAAAUGAUAUUUUAGCUAUUUCACUUCUUGCAGUUUCUGCAGAUAUGAAAUAUUGUUCAUACUGACAUCUCUAUUUCAUCAUCAACAUUUAACAUCUGUUUUCCAUGCUGGUAUGGAUUGGAUAACUUGACAGAACCUGACAAGGCCAAGAUCCACACCAGGUUCCAUAGUCUGUUUUCAUUUUGUUUCUACAGCUGGAUGCCUUUCCUAGCUACAGAGUGUACUGGGUGCUUAUAAUGUAGCACCAUCACCAGUGCUUUUUACGAGACACCUUGGUUUUAGGAUCUCAAUUCUGUUGUGGUGGGCAGGUCUUUUCAAGUACAGCGAUGCGCCACAUAUCUCAGAAUUAUUAAAUCUAACAAACAAACAAACACACUUCAAAAAUAUCCUAAUAAAGUACUAAGUACUCAAUGCAGAAUUUAUUUUACCCACAAGUUAGUUUAUGUUUCCUUCACAGUUUAAAUUGCUCUGGAAGUUCUCUAUUUAGAAUUUUCCUUCUUAACCCAUAUCUUUGCAUUGAUUUCGUUUUGUCAAAGAAAUAUUGUCAGUAAAUUCUCAAAGCAGUUUCUGAAAAAAAAAUCAAUAACAUUUAAGUCUUCCUUUUUCUGUUUUGCUUAUUUUAUUUAAUUUUAAGUCAGAGAAAAAAUAAUAAACAAAGAUGUUUAAUAAUACAUAAAUAUUUAUUCAACAAAGAAUAUACAAAGCAACCAAUAACAUUAUGACUGAUGUUUAAAAUUAAAUAAUUAAGCUAUGCGUGAGAUGUAUCAAAACUUAUUUUGAAGUAAAAGAAUGGGGAACAAGAUGGUAUAUCCAUGACACAAGAUGUUGCGAGUAGUACCAAGAUCAUAAUAUUGGUUUCAAAUUUUGGCACAAGAUUAGUAAUUUUAGGGGAGGAGCAUACUACAACACUCCACUGAUACUUGUUUCAAAUGGAGUUUGAACUCAGAAUAUAAAGAGCUGCAAGAAAUGCUGCCAAGUAUUUUGUCUGAUGAGCUAAUGAUUCUGCUAUCUCUCUACCUGAAAAGACCUUAAUACUGAAAAAUAUUAUAACCUAAGUGAAAUACCUAAAUAAUUGACUGGAAUUUUUUGGCAGAUGCUGCCAUAUUCACAAGUAUUUAUUAAGAUUUAGUAAAAUUCUGGCAUCUUACAAUAUCAUCCAAAUCAGAAGCUAGAUUGAAGAUCUUUUUCGAUUUAAAUUUUUUUUAAAAAUGAAGGAAAUAAUAACAAACAUCAAUAAAUGAAGAUAUUGAAUUCUUUAGUGUAAUUAAAUAUUGUAUGUGUGAUGAAGUUACAUUAAAUUUCAGUCUUAGAAAUUAGGAAAUAACAUUCGAGCAAGGUCAUUGCCAGUGCCACUGGACUGGCUCCUGUGCAGGUGACAUGUAAAAACACCAUUUGAGCGUGGCCGUUGGCAGAACCGCCUGACUGGCCCUCGUGCUGGUGGCACAUAAAAGCACCCACUACACUUUCGGAGUGGUUGGCAUUAGGAAGGGCAUCCAGCUGUAGAAACUCUGCCAGAUCAGAUUGGAGUCUGGUGCAGCCAUCUGGUUCGCUAGUCCUCAGUCAAAUCGUUGCCAUUUGUAAGGCCAAGUAAGUACUAGCUACAAAGGACACCUAUCAUGAAAGGCUUUCCUAUAAUAAUCAUAUCUUCAGUUUGUGUAUUGUAUAUGAAGGACAACUAUCUAAUGCAUCUGCCCGUUUUUAUAACUUUUCCUUUAAUUUUGGAUAGAUUUGGUUGCUAUUUCUCCCAUGUAAUGAAUGAUCACACAUAGACAAUUUAGUUAUAUUCAAUAUCUUGUAAAAGAUGUCAAGGAUAUUGUAUAAAUUUUGAGGGAAUGCUUAGGCUUCUUUGUGCACUGUUGUACUCUUUCAGUUUGUUCCAAUUGUAAUGUGUUCAAUAAUUCUCUCACCAUAGUAAAGACCCCUUUCAGUCAUGAAUGACCAUGGUAUUGCACCUAGAAAGUUCCCCUCCAAGGCACAAGUCUGGGCAAGGUUAUUUUUAUGGAAGACCAGCAAUCAUCCAUGCAUACCAGCCUCACCUCCCAACACCAUUGAUGUUAUCCAACAGAAAGGCAAAGGCCAAUACAGCUUGGCACCAGUGAUACUGCAACUCACUUCUACAGCUGGAUGAAUUGGAGCAAUGUGAAAUUACAUGGAAAAAUGCGAGCAAGAGAAAUAAUAUUAAGGUGAUAAAUCUGGAAAAGUACAGGACAAGUUAUUUCAUCUGGUAAAGUACAGAACAAGAAAAUCUUUACUUAAAAUAUAGCAGCUAAGGAUAAAAUUAGAUUUAGAAA
rnacentral:lncRNA from 1 species